rnacentral:tRNA from 1 species
GGGCGGGUAACUCACCGGUAGAGUGCUGCACUGAAAAUGCAGUUGUAGUGGGUUCAAUUCCCACCCUGCCCACCU